rnacentral:rRNA from 1 species
AUUGAACGCUGGCGGCAGGCUUAACACAUGCAAGUCGAACGGUAACAUAAAGGAGCUUGCUUCUUUGAUGACGAGUGGCGGACGGGUGAGUAAUGCUUGGGAAUCUAGCUUAUGGAGGGGGAUAACUACGGGAAACUGUAGCUAAUACCGCGUAGAAUCGGGAGAUGAAAGUGUGGGACCUUCGGGCCACAUGCCAUAGGAUGAGCCCAAGUGGGAUUAGGUAGUUGGUGAGGUAAAGGCUCACCAAGCCGACGAUCUCUAGCUGGUCUGAGAGGAUGACCAGCCACACUAGGACUGAGACACGGCCCAGACUCCUACGGGAGGCAGCAGUGGGGAAUAUUGCGCAAUGGGGGCAACCCUGACGCAGCCAUGCCGCGUGAAUGAAGAAGGCCUUCGGGUUGUAAAGUUCUUUCUGUAGCGAGGAAGGCAUUUAGUUUAAUAGACUAGGUGAUUGACGGUAACUACAGAAGAAGCACCGGCUAACUCCGUG